rnacentral:rRNA from 1 species
UACGGAGGGUGCGAGCGUUGUCCGGAAUCACUGGGCGUAAAGGGCGCGUAGGUGGCCCGUCAAGCGCGCGGUGAAAGCCCGGGGCUCAACCCCGGGUCGGCCGUGCGGACUGGCGGGCUCGAGCACUGUAGGGGCGGGUGGAAUUCCGGGUGUAGCGGUGGAAUGCGUAGAGAUGCGGAGGAACACCGAUGGCGAAGGCAGCCCCCUGGGCUGACACUGACGCUCAGGCACGAAAGCGUGGGGAGCAAACAGG